rnacentral:rRNA from 1 species
CCUACGGGAGGCAGCAGUAAGGAAUCUUCCACAAUGGACGAAAGUCUGAUGGAGCAACGCCGCGUGCAGGAUGAAGGCUUUCGGGUCGUAAACUGCUUUUAUAUGGGAAGAUUAUGACGGUACCAUAUGAAUAAGGACCGGCUAACCACGUGCCAGCAGCCGCGGUAAUACGUAGGGUCCAAGCGAUAUCCGGAAUUACUGGGCGUAAAGCGUGUGUAGGUGGAUUAAUAAGUGUGAUGCGAAAUCCGGCGGCUCAACCGUUUGGACUGUGUCGCAUACUGUUAGUCUAGAGGACGGCAGAGGUAAGUGGAAUUACGGGUGUAGCAGCGAAAUGCGUAGAUAUCCGUAGGAACACCAAUGGCGAAGGCAGCUUACUGGGCCACACCUGACACUGAGACACGAAAGCGUGGGGAGCGAACAGGAUUAGAUACCCUGGUAGUCCACGCCGUAAACGAUGCAUACUAUUAGUAUGGGGUAUGACCCCCUGUGCUGAGAAGCUAACGCGAUAAGUAUGCGCCUGGGGAGUACGAGCGCAAGCUAAAACUCAAANAGUAGUUAGAGNGNGNGAGNGCGAGACGACGACGAGGAGGAGG